UCAGGCACCUACGGACAAGCCAUGCUAGUCAUGACUUCACUCAUGAGUGAUAUUAUCCUCUGAUGCUGCUGCUCACAUUUUAUAUAAUAUCUUGGUGACUCACCAGUGAGUUAAACAGAUUACUAUCUUCUGCAGCCUGGAAUUUAGGCACAAAUGUUCCAUCUACACCUUAUGUGCAUAAAUCUGUCCUCUAUGGGAUAUUUCCCUUGCAGAGUUUUCCAGAGUAUUCCAAGAUCAGCAGUGUUGAAAGUCAAGGGAUGAAUUUGCCCUGAAGGUUUUGCUUUCAUCCACAGAGGCAAAAAGGGAGUAUCAGCUCUAUCCCUGUAAACCCAAAAUCUGCACAUAAUCUCUUGCACAUGAUGGAAGUAGCAUGUCAGAAUAACAAGCUGAAGCCCUUUCCCAGGAAAGAAGAAUUGCAGGCUGGACUGCAACAGAAGACAAAUACAGCUGCUGAAGAAUGGAGUGACUGAUAUAUAAGAAAAGAGACACAUGCUGGAAGGCCUAAAAAAAAAUAUCUAGCACAGAGUCCAGCCUUGAACUUGAUGAUUUUUGACCAUCCUCACCUGAAUCAGCAUUUGCUCAACAAUCUCUAGUGGUGUAAUGCCUUUUAAUUCUGGCUGAAUCUUUCAAAAAUCCCUUGAAUAUUGAACAGUUAACUGAGAAAGUUUAAUCAGUGCAAAGAUUUAUUGCACUAAUGAUGUAGGUUAUCAACUGAUAUCCUAAUUACCUAAAAUAUUCAUCUACCCCAGCACCACGUAAGAGUUUUUCAAUUCCCACAAUUGUUCUUUUUUUUUUCCUAAUGCUGUCUUAGACAGAGUAAUGAUUCAUUUGGAAGAGAUCCAAGACAAACAUUAUUUAAAUCACUUGAUCCAUUUACUAAGUUGUUGAAAAAUUAACAAGAGCAUUGUUUAAUACACCAUUCUUUUUAG